GGAAGGGUACAGCUCAGUGGUAGAGCGCGUGCUUAGCGUGCACGAGGUCCUGGGUUCAAGCCCUAGGACCUCCA
rfam:Camelus ferus unplaced genomic scaffold scaffold955, whole genome shotgun sequence.